rnacentral:misc_RNA from 1 species
UCCGCGUUAUCCGCGGCGGUUCCUUCAGAGUGCCCAACUUAAUGCUGGCAACUGAAGGCGAGGGUUGCGCUCGUUGCGGGACUUAACCCAACAUCUCACGACACGAGCUGACGACAGCCAUGCAACACCUGUAUCCGGUCCAACUAAAUGACUCCCCCUUUUCGGGAGGAUAUAACCGGUAUGUCAAGCCUAGGUAAGGUUCUUCGCGUAGCAUCGAAUUAAAGGACAUGCUCCACCACUUGUGCGGGUCCCCGUCAAUUCCUUUGAGUUUUAACCUUGCGGCCGUACUCCCCAGGCGGCAUGCUUACCGCGUUUGCUGAGCCACCGAGUUCUGUAGCGAACCCGACAGCGAGCAUGCAUCGUUUACGGCGUGGACUAC